AUGCUUUCUUCUUUGUUGGAUUGCAUGUUAAUUCUGUGUAUUAUUAGUUGAGUUAAUUCUCUGGUUGGGCCCGUGACUCAGUGAUCCGAGUCUUGGCCGGGUGGAUACCCGAUCCGCUAGCUGCCGUCUCUCACUUGCGGCCGAUCCCUGUUGUUGUUUCGAUCCGCUACGGUGUCCGAUCAAGUUCAUCAUGCUUCGUAAAUUCCUUGAUCUUAAUCUGACGGCGGGAGAAAGAAGCCGCAGACCUUACCACGCGUCGGAUCCCUGUCUUUUCGAUCCGCUACUGUGUAUACCAUCAAGUCCGUCAUGCAUUAUAAAUCCCUUUAUCUUAAGCCAACGGCGGGAAGAAAGCGACCCCAAGACUUACCAUCGCGAGCUCAAUAGUCUCUCCGUACCAUCGUUCCCAGCCCCAAACCUAGACGUCGGCCGGGGAUGCGCUCUUUUUGCCACCGCCACCACCACUGGCGGCCAGCGGCCCACUACCACCGCCUCUGAUUUCCUACAAGUCCACUGGGCUUAUUUUCCAGUCAGCACGGUGACAGCGAGUUUGAGAAGAUUUACAUUGCAUGCCCUAAAUCCUUCAUGUCGUUCCCCUGAUCAAGAUAAUGGUGACCUUAGAUGAUGAUUUGCUCAAAACAGCUUAUUCAGUCGUGUACAAGUGUAGAAAAAAAAUAAUUUGUUGGUGAUGAGUUUUCAUCAAAAGAUUGGGAUAAAAUAGUUUGUGGCAAUUGAGAUGUAUGAUCUUGUGUAGCAAUGGACAAAAGCUUUUUGUGCAUAUGCCGAAUAGCUGCAACUAAACCAUGGAGUCCAAUACUCGUAAUAGCGAUCGAUUGGCACUUGUGAUUUUUAUCUGGAAGCAAGCAAAAAUUUUCAAUAAUAUGAUCUAUAUCUACAUGAUGUCCCUGAAUUAGGAGAUUCUUAUGGAAGCAGAGAUAAAAAAAAAAGGUUUUGUUAAAAGGAAUACAGUGUCAUCCUAACAAUGUUUUUGUAAUUAAUGUGGAAAGAUCUGAAAACUCUUAAGGGGGCUAUGUGAGACACAAUUAUUUGUUGCACCUAUUUCUUGGCGAUUCUUCACUUGGAUUAACAUGGAAUACGGUUUUCUUGUUUUUUAGUGGUUAAUGUUGUGAGGAUUGUAUGGAAGAUAUGUUUUUGACUGUUGUCAGCACCACCUCACAAGGCCAUGGGCAAAGAUAUUGAAUGAGGGUGAUCAUGUCAAGACAAUCAAAGACAAAGACAGGAAGGAUGGAUCAGACUUUUGAGAGGCCAAAAGGAUGCAGCAAAAGCAAAGGGAGGUUGGCUCUUGGGAUGAUGGAUCAGCUGGGCUAAAUCCCGUGUGUUUAUUUAAUUCACAAGUGCUGCUUCUCACCAAUCGAAGAGAGAGGGAGCUUUCAGUGCUUCCAUGACGAGGGAGCUAGCGUGGAAGGGAAGCAUUCUUGCAUAGACCCAAUCCAUUGUCAGAUAAAAUGGGUGAAGGAAAGGUCCUACACACACAGCGUCUGCCGCUGAAGUCAGUAUCAACUUUAUAUACUUAAUUACGUGAACAGUAACAAAGCAGAAAAAGACAGGCAAAUUAUUGUCCUUAUGAGCGGUUGAAAGAUAUCCAAACUUGUUCUAUUCGUUUUGGUAAUCUCUUCCUUUCUCCACUUGCCUUGUAUAUAACCAACCUACCUUGAAUGUUC